GGGUCUUAACUUGACCCAAUUCAACAUUGUGUAAACAAUUUAGGCACAAAUAAAAUGGUCAAUUUUCGUCUCAGGGGCAUGCACUUUAAAAAGGGAUUUAAUUGACAUCAUAAUGAUCAAAAUCCACUUAAGCUUUGAAAUACAUAAAACAAAAUAUAAAAACAAUAAAUAAAUGUGAUGAAAAUCUGAUGUUAUGAAACACUUACAAUGGGAAAACCUGCUGCUGGUAGCUUUUGUGUCUAAUUUUUUAAAUUUCGUGGGAAAUAUUUUUCUUUGAAAGCAGAUACAGAAGUUGUCAGAGAUAAGAAAGUUAAUUAUUUAAAUCUUUUCAUAAUUACUACUGCAAAGUAUACAAGUAAAUUUUUGCAGAAUUUCAAGUCCUUGAUAUGAGAACUCAGAGUGAUAUAUUCAACAAUUCUCUACAUAUAUAAAACUGAAUGUCUUUCACAUUUUAUUUGCCCCUUACAUUUAUUAGUAACAAUAGUUUACUCAAAGACUGUUAGAAAAGCAAACAAACAAAUGAAUAAAAACAGUGAAAUUAGGAAAAGAUCGCAGACUACUGAAGAAGGGAAACUUGAAUUGUGCUUGUUAAUUUUCUCCAAUGUCCUUCAUGUUUUUGGUCAAAUAAAUGUAAUCAGUUGUAGGGAUUACCUAAAAUGUGGCAACUUGUCAGUAUGGUCUUGAUUCUUCUCAGAUGUCAGCUAGUAAAAGUUAGAUACUUCAAAUAACUGGCCCUAAGGACAAGGUACACAUCAUCAAAAAAGUCACACUGAAGUGGUUGAUGAUCAUAAAAUUUGGAGAGAUUUGGUUUUGUGAUUGAUUUGUGAUAAUCAGAAUGAUAGUCUGGCAGGAAAAACCCACUGAGGUUUUUCCUAUUCAACAGCAAGUUCAUUAGAUUUUGGAAUCUACAUUCAAACUUGGAUGGUUCAGAUGAAGAUAGCCCAAAAGAAGUGAACUUGACAGUAACAAAGGUGACAAAUGAGGAAACUUGAUCACAUUAGUUGUUACAUCUUGGCUUGAAAUUCUGACAAUUACUGAGAUAAUUAAAAUGUCAGUCCCUGAACAGGAAUGCACCUUCCAUAUGAACUGCACAGUCAUGCAGUCAUAAGCAAUGAGAUAAUUGAAAAAAAUGUUUGUGUGUUUGGCAGAACUACUGUUACUGCAGUGGUACCUACAGUAUAGUGACAAAAAUUACUAAUUUCCUGUAAGUACAAAUGUAUAGGAGAAGUUAUGGCAGAAACUGACCUUUUUUCUGCAGGGAUGCAUAGGGUUUGAUGAUUGUAAUGUUUUUCAGGUUUAGCAUUGAGACUUUCGACUUUGUAUGAAUUGUAACAUUUCACCAUAAUUUUAUUUAUUCCUUGUACCUUAAAUAAGCCCUCAAAAGUUUAUUUAGUUGUAGCAGGGGAGUGUGUAACCUGACUUCCUUUGUUUGCAGUUGUGUGAUUGCAUGCAUAAAAAUUUCAGUUGCAAAUAGCGACACUGUAUUAAUACCAACAUUGUAACAUGUAAAGUUAUUUGGAUGGCAUUAAAUACUCAGGCUCAAGCUCUCAA